rfam:Porphyrobacter sp. HL-46 ITZ_scaf_1770, whole genome shotgun sequence.
GCUGCUGUAGCUCAGUGGUAGAGCGCACCCUUGGUAAGGGUGAGGUCGGGAGUUCAAUCCUCCCCAGCAGCA